rnacentral:rRNA from 1 species
UACGUAGGGUGCGAGCGUUGUCCGGAUUACUGGGCGUAAAGAGCUCGUAGGUGGUUUGUCGCGUUGUUCGUGAAAACCGGGGGCUUAACCCUCGGCGUGCGGGCGAGUACGGGCAGACUGGAGUACUGCAGGGGAGACUGGAAUUCCUGGUGUAGCGGUGGAAGUGCGCAGAUAUCAGGAGGAACACCGGUGGCGAAGGCGGGUCUCUGGGCAGUAACUGACGCUGAGGAGCGAAAGCGUGGGGAGCGAACAGG